rnacentral:tRNA from 1 species
GGGCUCGUAGUCUAGUUUGGUUAGGAUCCGAGCUUAGGGAGCUUGAGACGGGUGUUCAAAUCACCCCGAGCCCA